rnacentral:rRNA from 1 species
CACGUAGGGGGCGAGCGUUGUCCGGAAUUAUUGGGCGUAAAGAGCUCGUAGGCGGUGUGUCGCGUCGGUCGUGAAAACUUGGGGCUUAACCCUGAGCUUGCGGUCGAUACGGGCAUCACUGGAGUUCGGCAGGGGAGACUGGAAUUCCUGGUGUAGCGGUGAAAUGCGCAGAUAUCAGGAGGAACACCGGUGGCGAAGGCGGAUCUCUGGGCCUUGCCUGACGCUGAGGCGCGAAAGCUAGGGGAGCGAACAGG